rnacentral:rRNA from 1 species
UACGUAGGGACCAAGCGUUGUUCGGAUUUACUGGGCGUAAAGGGCGCGUAGGCGGCUUGUCAAGUCACUUGUGAAAUCUCUGGGCUUAACCCAGAACGGCCAAGUGAAACUGACAUGCUAGAGUGCAGAAGGGGCAAUCGGAAUUCCUGGUGUAGCGGUGAAAUGCGCAGAUAUCAGGAGGAACACCCGUGGCGAAAGCGGCUCUCUGGGACGGUACUGACGCUGAGACGCGAAAGCGUGGGGAGCAAACAGG